rnacentral:rRNA from 1 species
UUGAACGCUGGCGGCAUGCUUUACACAUGCAAGUCGAACGGUAACAGGCCUUCGGGUGCUGACGAGUGGCGAACGGGUGAGUAAUGCAUCGGGACGUGCCCAGAGGUGGGGGAUAACGCAGCGAAAGCUGUGCUAAUACCGCAUGUGAUCUGAGGAUGAAAGCGGGGGACCAGGCAGCAAUGUUUGGCCUCGCGCCUUUGGAGCGGCCGAUGUCAGAUUAGGUAGUUGGUGGGGUAAAGGCCUACCAAGCCGACGAUCUGUAGCUGGUCUGAGAGGACGACCAGCCACACUGGGACUGAGACACGGCCCAGACUCCUACGGGAGGCAGCAGUGGGGAAUUUUGGACAAUGGGCGCAAGCCUGAUCCAGCAAUGCCGCGUGCGGGAAGAAGGCCUUCGGGUUGUAAACCGCUUUUGUACGGAACGAAAAGGCUCUGGCUAAUACCUGGGGCUGAUGACGGUACCGGAAGAAUAAGCACCGGCUAACUACGUG